rnacentral:rRNA from 1 species
UACAGAGGGUGCGAGCGUUAAUCGGAAUUACUGGGCGUAAAGCGUGCGUAGACGGUUAUUUAAGUCGGAUGUGAAAGCCCAGGGCUCAACCCUGGAAUUGCCUUUAAGACUGCAUCGCUUGAACAUCGGAGAGGUAAGUGGAAUUCCGAGUGUAGAGGUGAAAUUCGUAGAUAUUCGGAAGAACACCAGUGGCGAAGGCGACUUACUGGACGAUUGUUGACGCUGAGGUGCGAAAGCGUGGGGAGCAAACAGG